rnacentral:rRNA from 1 species
AGGAGGCAGCCGACCACGGUACGGUCAGCGACUGGGGUGAAGUCGUAACAAGGUAGCCGUAGGGGAACCUGCGGCUGGAUCACCUCCUUUCUAAGG